CUCUGGUUCAUUUUUGGCCAAUACUCUACUACAGGCACCUUUUCUCUUGCUACGUACUCCAUUUUUCCCCCCUCCUGGUAGGUAAGCAUACCCAUGAGAUGUUUAAAGGGCUUUUUUAUGGACCUGUCAUUAGAAUGUUAGAUUUUAGCGGUUAGUUGGUGCCUACGGCCUACCCGUAAGAUGAAGAAUGUUAUACUUUAGCAG
rnacentral:lncRNA from 1 species